rnacentral:rRNA from 1 species
GACGAACGCUGGCGGCGCGCUUAACACAUGCAAGUCGAGCGAGAACCAGGCCUUCGGGCCUGGGGAAAGCGGCGAACGGGUGAGUAACACGUGGGUAACCCACCCUUGGUACCGGGAUAGCCCGAGGAAACUCGGAUUAAUACCGGAUGGCCCAACAGCUUUUCGGAGCGGUUGGAAAAGGUAGCUUCGGCCUCCGACCAAGGACGGGCCCGCGGCGGAUUAGCUUGUUGGUGAGGUAACGGCUCACCAAGGCGACGAUCCGUAGCUGGUCUGAGAGGACGAUCAGCCACACUGGGACUGAGACACGGCCCAGACUCCUACGGGAGGCAGCAGUGGGGAAUCUUGCGCAAUGGGCGAAAGCCUGACGCAGCGACGCCGCGUGGGGAAGAAGGCUUUCGGGUUGUAAACCCCUUUCAGAAGGACGAAGCCACUCGGGUUAAUAGCCCAGAGGGUGACGGUACUUCCAGAAGAAGCCCCGGCUAACUACGUGCCAGCAGCCGCA